UAGCUGAAAUGGUAAAAGAACCUGCCUGUGAUGCAGGAGACCAGGGUUCAAUCCCUG
rfam:Ovis aries breed Texel chromosome 12, whole genome shotgun sequence.